rnacentral:tRNA from 1 species
GGAGGAGUGCCGGAGCGGUUUAACGGGCUUGUUUCGAAAACAAGUGUGCUUGUAAGAGUACCGGGGGUUCAAAUCCCUUCUCCUCCG